rnacentral:tRNA from 1 species
GUAGAUUUAAGUUAAAUUGUAAACUAUUAAUUUUCAAAAUUAAAAAUUUUAUCUAUA